GACAGAGGGUGCAAACGUUGUUCGGAAUUACUGGGCGUAAAGCGCGUGUAGGCGGCCAUCUAAGUCGGGCGUGAAAUCCCACGGCUCAACCUGGGAAUUGCAUUCGAGACUGAAUAGCUAGGGUACGGUAGAGGGAAGUGGAAUUUCCGGUGUAGCGGUGAAAUGCGCAGAUAUCAGGAGGAACACCGGUGGCGAAGGCGGUUCUCUGGGCAUGACCUGACGCUGGAGGAGCGAAAGUGUGGGGAGCGAACAGG
rnacentral:rRNA from 1 species